UGUUUUUACCGUAACAUCAGCCUGAACCUGAAUGGCAAAAUUCCUGAAUGCAUGCCAGCAUGCAAUAACUGCUGUACCUCCAGCACCAGAGGCGACAAAAGCAGAGGGGAAAAAACAACUUAUUUUUGGCCUGUCCUUCAGAUAAAAAUGGCAGUUAUCUCAACUUACAAGAUCCAAUCAAUGGCCACAAUCAGCGUGAUGUCAUCCGCUGGCAAUCCGACAGAUGUCAGCACUAUCACCAUGGUUACAAGGCCUGCCUGAGGGAUUCCAGCGGCACCUAUGCUGGCAGCGGUCGCCGUUAUACUGCAGGAAAUCAGAACAGGGCCUAGUUCUUCAUACCUGGAUGAUGUGGCGAGAGCGAUGACCAUGGCUUGCAGAAGCCCUCUGAUGUAUGUGAAAGGAUUUUUCCAUGUCAGAAUGAAAUAGAAGAAUGGAAGCAAGAUGAGGCCGUGCACAA